UACGGGGGGUGCAAGCGUUGUUCGGAAUUACUGGGCGUAAAGGGCUCGUAGGUGGCCAACUAAGACAGACGUGAAAUCCCUCGGCUUAACCGGGGAACUGCAUCUGAUACUGGAUGGCUUGAGUUUGGGAGAGGGACGCGGAAUUCCAGGUGUAGCGGUGAAAUGCGUAGAUAUCGGGAGGAACACCUGUGGCGAAAGCGGUGCACUGGACCAUAACUGACGCUGAUGCGCGAAAGCUAGGGGAGCAAACAGG
rnacentral:rRNA from 1 species